rnacentral:rRNA from 1 species
UACGUAGGGUGCGAGCGUUGUCCGGAAUUAUUGGGCGUAAAGAGCUCGUAGGCGGUUUGUCGCGUCGGCCGUGAAAACUUGGGGCUUAACCCCAAGCCUGCGGUCGAUACGGGCAGACUUGAGUUCGGCAGGGGAGACUGGAAUUCCUGGUGUAGCGGUGAAAUGCGCAGAUAUCAGGAGGAACACCGGUGGCGAAGGCGGAUCUCUGGGCCUUACCUGACGCUCAGGCACGAAAGCUAGGGGAGCGAACAGG